CCUACGGGAGGCAGCAGUGGGGAAUAUUGCACAAUGGGGGAAACCCUGAUGCAGCGACGCCGCGUGAAUGAUGAAGGAUUUCGGUGUGUAAAGCUCUAUCGGUAGGGAAGAAAAUGACGGUACCUGAUGAAUAAGCCCCGGCUAACUACGUGCCAGCAGCCGCGGUAAUACGUAGGGGGCAAGCGUUAUCCGGAUUUACUGGGUGUAAAGGGGGCGUAGGCGGGAUGACAAGUCAGGAGUGAAAUUUCGGGGCUUAACCACAGAACUGCAUUUGAAACUGUUAAGCUAGAGUGCAGGAGAGGUAAGUGGAAUUCUUAGUGUAGCGGUGAAAUGCGUAGAUAUCAGGAGGAACACUAGUUGCGAAGGCGGCUUACUGGACUGUAACUGACGCUGAGGCUCGAAAGCGUGGGGAGCAAACAGGAUUAGAUACCCGAGUAGUC
rnacentral:rRNA from 1 species